UACGGAGGGUGCGAGCGUUGUCCGGAAUCACUGGGCGUAAAGGGCGCGUAGGCGGCGCGGAUAGUCGGCGGUGAAAGCCCGGAGCUCAACUCCGGGUCGGCCGUCGAUACUUCCGGGCUUGAGCACUGUAGAGGCAGAUGGAAUUCCGGGUGUAGCGGUGGAAUGCGUAGAGAUCCGGAAGAACACCGGUGGCGAAGGCGGGUCUCUGGGCCGAUACUGACGCUGAGGAGCGAAAGCGUGGGGAGCAAACAGG
rnacentral:rRNA from 1 species